AGUGAACGCUGGCGGUAGGCCUAACACAUGCAAGUCGAACGGCAGCACAGUAAGAGCUUGCUCUUACGGGUGGCGAGUGGCGGACGGGUGAGGAAUACAUCGGAAUCUACUUUUUCGUGGGGGAUAACGUAGGGAAACUUACGCUAAUACCGCAUACGACCUACGGGUGAAAGCAGGGGAUCUUCGGACCUCGCGCGAUUGAAUGAGCCGAUGUCGGAUUAGCUAGUUGGCGGGGUAAAGGCCCACCAAGGCGACGAUCCGUAGCUGGUCUGAGAGGAUGAUCAGCCACACUGGAACUGAGACACGGUCCAGACUCCUACGGGAGGCAGCAGUGGGGAAUAUUGGACAAUGGGCGCAAGCCUGAUCCAGCCAUACUGCGUGGGUGAAGAAGGCCUUCGGGUUGUAAAGCCCUUUUGUUGGGAAAGAAAAGCAGCAGGUUAAUACCCCGCUGUUCUGACGGUACCCAAAGAAUAAGCACCGGCUAACUUCGUG
rnacentral:rRNA from 1 species